UUCCCCUAGUAACUGCGAGUGAAGCGGGAAAAGCUCAAAUUUAAAAUCUGAUAGUCCCUGUGGCUGUCCGAGUUGUAAUCUAGAGAAGUGCUUUCCGCGUUGGACCGUGUACAAGUCUCUUGGAACAGAGCAUCAUAGAGGGUGAGAAUCCCGUCUUUGACACGGACUACCAGUGCUUUUGUGAUGCGCUCUCAAAGAGUCGAGUUGUUUGGGAAUGCAGCUCAAAAUGGGUGGUAAAUUCCAUCUAAAGCUAAAUAUUGGCGAGAGACCGAUAGCGAACAAGUACCGUGAGGGAAAGAUGAAAAGAACUUUGGAAAGAGAGUUAAACAGUACGUGAAAUUGUUGAAAGGGAAACGCUUGAAGUCAGUCACGUUGGCUAGAAAUCAACUCUUCAUUGAAGGGUGUACUUUCUGGCUUUACGGGUCAACAUCAAUUUUGACUGUUGGAUAAAUUUCAAUAUUUAUGCAUUUUCGGAUGUAUAGCCUUUGAUUGCAUACAACAGUUGGGAUUGAGGAACUCAGCAUGCCGCAAGGCCGGGUCAGAAUGACCACGUACAUGCUUAGGAUGUUGGCAUAAUGGCUUUAAUCGACCCGUCUUGAAACACGGACCAAGGAGUCUAACAUGCCCGCGAGUGUUUGGGUGGUAAACCCGAGCGCGUAAUGAAAGUGAAUGUUGAGAUCUCUGUCA
rnacentral:rRNA from 1 species